rnacentral:rRNA from 1 species
UACGAAGGGUGCAAACGUUAUUCGGAAUCACUGGGCGUAAAGGGUGCGUAGACGGUAUGUUAAGUUCGUUGUUAAAGGCUCCGGCCUAACCGGAGUACCGCAAUGAAAACUGGCGUGCUAGAGGGUGAGAGAGAGAAGUGGAAUUCCCGGAGUAGCGGUAAAAUGCGUGGAUCUCGGGAGGAACACCAGUGGCGAAGGCGGCUCUCUGGGGUAUUUCUGACGCUGAGGCACGAAAGCCAGGGGAGCGAACGGG